rnacentral:rRNA from 1 species
GGUUAAGCGACUAAGCGUACACGGUGGAUGCCCUGGCAGUCAGAGGCGAUGAAGGACGUGCUAAUCUGCGAUAAGCGUCGGUAAGGUGAUAUGAACCGUUAUAACCGGCGAUUUCCGAAUGGGGAAACCCAGUGUGAUUCGUCACACUAUCAUUAACUGAAUCCAUAGGUUAAUGAGGCGAACCGGGGAACUGAAACAUCUAAGUACCCCGAGGAAAAGAAAUCAACCGAGAUUCCCCCAGUAGCGGCGAGCGAACGGGGAGCAGCCCAGAGCCUGAAUCAGUGUGUGUGUUAGUGGAAGCGUCUGGAAAGGCGCGCGAUACAGGAGUGACAGCCCCGUACACAAAAAUGCACAUAUUGUGAGCUCGAUGAGUAGGGCGGGACACGUGGUAUCCUGUCUGAAUAUGGGGGGCCCAUCCUCCAAGGCUAAAUACUCCUGACUGACCGAUAGUGAACCAGUACCGUGAGGGAAAGGCGAAAAGAACCCCGGCGAGGGGAGUGAAAAGAACCUGAAACCGUGUACGUACAAGCAGUGGGAGCACGCUUAGGCGUGUGACUGCGUACCUUUUGUAUAAUGGGUCAGCGACUUAUAUUCUGUAGCAAGGUUAACCGAAUAGGGGAGCCGAAGGGAAACCGAGUCUUAACUGGGCGUUAAGUUGCAGGGUAUAGACCCGAAACCCGGUGAUCUAGCCAUGGGCAGGUUGAAGGUUGGGUAACACUAACUGGAGGACCGAACCGACUAAUGUUGAAAAAUUAGCGGAUGACUUGUGGCUGGGGGUGAAAGGCCAAUCAAACCGGGAGAUAGCUGGUUCUCCCCGAAAGCUAUUUAGGUAGCGCCUCGUGAAUUCAUCUCCGGGGGUAGAGCACUGUUUCGGCAAGGGGGUCAUCCCGACUUACCAACCCGAUGCAAACUGCGAAUACCGGAGAAUGUUAUCACGGGAGACACACGGCGGGUGCUAACGUCCGUCGUGAAGAGGGAAACAACCCAGACCGCCAGCUAAGGUCCCAAAGUCAUGGUUAAGUGGGAAACGAUGUGGGAAGGCCCAGACAGCCAGGAUGUUGGCUUAGAAGCAGCCAUCAUUUAAAGAAAGCGUAAUAGCUCACUGGUCGAGUCGGCCUGCGCGGAAGAUGUAACGGGGCUAAACCAUGCACCGAAGCUGCGGCAGCGACGCUUAUGCGUUGUUGGGUAGGGGAGCGUUCUGUAAGCCUGCGAAGGUGUGCUGUGAGGCAUGCUGGAGGUAUCAGAAGUGCGAAUGCUGACAUAAGUAACGAUAAAGCGGGUGAAAAGCCCGCUCGCCGGAAAGACCAAGGGUUCCUGUCCAACGUUAAUCGGGGCAGGGUGAGUCGACCCCUAAGGCGAGGCCGAAAGGCGUAGUCGAUGGGAAACAGGUUAAUAUUCCUGUACUUGGUGUUACUGCGAAGGGGGACGGAGAAGGCUAUGUUGGCCGGGCGACGGUUGUCCCGGUUUAAGCGUGUAGGCUGGUUUUCCGAGCAAAUCCGGAAAAUCAAGGCUGAGGCGUGAUGACGAGGCACUACGGUGCUGAAGCAACAAAUGCCCUGCUUCCAGGAAAAGCCUCUAAGCAUCAGGUAACAUCAAAUCGUACCCCAAACCGACACAGGUGGUCAGGUAGAGAAUACCAAGGCGCUUGAGAGAACUCGGGUGAAGGAACUAGGCAAAAUGGUGCCGUAACUUCGGGAGAAGGCACGCUGAUAUGUAGGUGAAGUCCCUUGCGGAUGGAGCUGAAAUCAGUCGAAGAUACCAGCUGGCUGCAACUGUUUAUUAAAAACACAGCACUGUGCAAACACGAAAGUGGACGUAUACGGUGUGACGCCUGCCCGGUGCCGGAAGGUUAAUUGAUGGGGUCAGCGCAAGCGAAGCUCUUGAUCGAAGCCCCGGUAAACGGCGGCCGUAACUAUAACGGUCCUAAGGUAGCGAAAUUCCUUGUCGGGUAAGUUCCGACCUGCACGAAUGGCGUAAUGAUGGCGGGCUGUCUCCACCCGAGACUCAGUGAAAUUGAACUCGCUGUGAAGAUGCAGUGUACCCGCGGCAAGACGGAAAGACCCCGUGAACCUUUACUAUAGCUUGACACUGAACAUUGAGCCUUGAUGUGUAGGAUAGGUGGGAGGCUUUGAAGUGUGGACGCCAGUCUGCAUGGAGCCGGCCUUGAAAUACCACCCUUUAAUGUUUGAUGUUCUAACGUGGACCCGUGAUCCGGGUUGCGGACAGUGUCUGGUGGGUAGUUUGACUGGGGCGGUCUCCUCCUAAAGAGUAACGGAGGAGCACGAAGGUUGGCUAAUCCUGGUCGGACAUCAGGAGGUUAGUGCAAUGGCAUAAGCCAGCUUGACUGCGAGCGUGACGGCGCGAGCAGGUGCGAAAGCAGGUCAUAGUGAUCCGGUGGUUCUGAAUGGAAGGGCCAUCGCUCAACGGAUAAAAGGUACUCCGGGGAUAACAGGCUGAUACCGCCCAAGAGUUCAUAUCGACGGCGGUGUUUGGCACCUCGAUGUCGGCUCAUCACAUCCUGGGGCUGAAGUAGGUCCCAAGGGGUAUGGCUGUUCGCCAUUUAAAGUGGUACGCGAGCUGGGUUUAGAACGUCGUGAGACAGUUCGGUCCCUAUCUGCCGUGGGCGCUGGAGAACUGAGGGGGCUGCUCCUAGUACGAGAGGACCGGAGUGGACGCAUCACUGGUGUUCGGGUUGUCAUGCCAAUGGCACUGCCCGGUAGCUAAAUGCGGAAGAGAUAAGUGCUGAAAGCAUCUAAGCACGAAACUUGCCCCGAGAUGAGUUCUCCCUGACCCUUUAAGGGUCCUGAAGGAACGUUGAAGACGACGACGUUGAUAGGCCGGGUGUGUAAGCGCAGCGAUGCGUUGAGCUAACCGGUACUAAUGAACCGUGAGGCUUAACCUU